ensembl:lncRNA
GAUGAGAACUUCAACCAAUAUGUUGAAUCUUUGGACAUUUGAGCGUUUUUUUUUUAUUAUUAUUUUUUACUUUGUUUUAGUUCUUAUUUUUAUUUUCUUAAGAUCCAAGUUAAUGGAUUUUGUUGAUGUCUUUGUCUAUUGUGACUUGUAGUUUGUGAAAAAUCAAUAAAAAAAAAAAAAAUCUGAUGUACAAUAUUCAAAGCAUGUGUAAAUAUAUAGAUUAACUUGUUUACUAAUGUGGUUAACUACAUUAAGUGUUAAUUGUAAUGUUUUACUAUAAUAAUAAAAGUUAUGUUUAUUUGUUUAUUCAGAUGAGGAAACCUAUUGAAGAAAAUGUUGUAAAUGGUUUACAUUCCUUUGGUCUAUUCUUCUCAGAUUGUGAAUGGAACAAACUUUGUGGUCAAGGUGUUUCUUGGUGGAAGGGAUGAUGGAGUGUGUAUUCAUGCGAAGAUACAUCAGGCUCUUGCCUGUAAUGGAGGAAAACUGACACUGUCUAGAUUCCAGUUUCCUAAAACCUUCGAUGAACCUCUGAAACCCUUCUGAACACAUCUAACCAAAUACCGAAACAGUCUUAUCAAAUAACAGACACAUGAAUGAGCUGCCGUAUCUGCUGAAAUCAUUUCAUUCUUCAAUAUUAAACUCUGUAUUCAAACACUCAAGUGUCAGUGUGUACACUGAAAUAAAUUAACAUAAAUAUUCCUCGUUAUCACACAUUUUUAAAAAAAAUAAAUUAUUUUUUAAGUGAAAUUUAAAUUUCAAAAAUUACAUUUUAAGAUUUUAUCGACUUCAAUGACUAAAUGAGUUGUUUGUUUUUUUUUUAUGAAAUGUCAUACAAAAGCAAGAGGUCUGUGUUUGUCACAUUUGUUUUUCUUCUAAAGCGUUCCUUGUACAUCAAUAGGACGAUUUUUAUAACACAAUCUCUCUAACAUGAAGAUAACACACUUCUGUUUAGCCCGUGUCACAACCAUGAGAACUGCUUUUUAAUUGUGAGAUGAUGUACAUUAUUUUUAAUAUCCUAAACUCUCAAACUCUCAACAUAUCCAUGUCAUAUCUUACCACAAAAUGACUAGAAAUAAAUGGGUUUAUAUAAGGUGACCAUACUAUUUAAGUCAAAAAUGUAAUUGUUAUGCACAAUGUAUUUAUCAUGUUCAUGUUGUACUGCAAAUCACUUUUGCUGCAAUUGAGGUGGAAUACAGUUAAAGGGAUACUUCACCCAAAAAUGAAAAUUCUGUUAUCAUUUACAAACCAUCAUGUCGUUCCAAACCUGUAUGAGUUGCUUUCUUAUGUUAAACAUAAAAUAAGCACAUUUUAGAGUGGCUUUUUAUUGUGGCCAGCCUAAGGCACACCUGUGCAAUAAUCAUGCUGUCUAAUCAGCAUCUUUAUAUGCCACACCUGUGAGGUGGAUGCAUUAUCUCGUCAAAGGAGAAGUGCUCACUAACACAGAUUUA